rnacentral:tRNA from 1 species
GGGCCAGUGGCGCGAUGGAUGCUGCGCCUGACUACGGAUCGGGAGAUUCCAGGUUUGAAUCCUGGCUGGCUCG